rnacentral:misc_RNA from 1 species
AAACUACAAGGGGAGCCGAAGCUCCCCAAGAAGUAGUUGCAUGUUCUAUUUUUGUUAUUGGUUUCGGGCUUCUUGUUUUUGUUGAGUGCCCGCGUCAUGAAGUUUUCCUUCAUGACCCUCCCAAUCGGGAGCCAAGAGCAAACGGAUUGCUUUGGUCGCUGUGCUGCAGUGAUCUUGCGAUCCAACCAGUUCAGGCUCUGUCUCAAGACAGUU